AGGGAUCAUUACCGAGUUUACAACUCCCAAACCCAAUGUGAACCAUACCAAACUGUUGCCUCGGCGGGGUCACGCCCCGGGUGCGUCGCAGCCCCGGAACCAGGCGCCCGCCGGAGGGACCAACCAAACUCUUUCUGUAGUCCCCUCGCGGACGUUAUUUCUUACAGCUCUGAGCAAAAAUUCAAAAUGAAUCAAAACUUUCAACAACGGAUCUCUUGGUUCUGGCAUCGAUGAAGAACGCAGCGAAAUGCGAUAAGUAAUGUGAAUUGCAGAAUUCAGUGAAUCAUCGAAUCUCUGAACGCACAUUGCGCCCGCCAGUAUUCUGGCGGGCAUGCCUGUCCGAGCGUCAUUUCAACCCUCGAACCCCUCCGGGGGGUCGGCGUUGGGGAUCGGGAACCCCUAAGACGGGAUCCCGGCCCCGAAAUACAGUGGCGGUCUCGCCGCAGCCUCUCCUGCGCAGUAGUUUGCACAACUCGCACCGGGAGCGCGGCGCGUCCACGUCCGUAAAACACCCAACUUCUGAAAUGUUGACCUCGGAUCAGGUAGGAAUACCCGCUGAACUUAA
rnacentral:rRNA from 1 species